rnacentral:rRNA from 1 species
CCUAUUGGUGACAUUGUUUAAUCUCAGAAACUAAGCAUGACUAAGUCCAAUUAGUACUUGGAUGGGGGACCAUCCAGGAAUAUCAGAUAUCAUUGGUU